rnacentral:sRNA from 1 species
GGCAGUGGUGCUGCUGCUGCUGCUGCUGCUGCUGCUGCUGACGCACUUGAUGCUGAUGCACCGUAGGCGUUGCAGCCACGCCCGUUGCAUAGAGGCUUGCCCCCACUCGGUGUGCAGCAGCAGCAGCAGCAGUAGCAGCACUCUC